GUGUCAGCAGCCGCGGUAAUACGAAGGGGGCUAGCGUUGUUCGGAAUUACUGGGCGUAAAGCGCACGUAGGCGGAUAUUUAAGUCAGGGGUGAAAUCCCGCAGCUCAACUGCGGAACUGCCUUUGAUACUGGGUAUCUUGAGUAUGGAAGAGGUUAGUGGAAUUGCGAGUGUAGAGGUGAAAUUCGUAGAUAUUCGCAGGAACACCAGUGGCGAAGGCGGCUAACUGGUCCAUAACUGACGCUGAGGUGCGAAAGCGUGGGGAGCAAACAGGAUUAGAUACCCCGGUAGUCC
rnacentral:rRNA from 1 species